ACACUCCUGCGGGAGGCAGCAGUAGGGAAUCUUCCACAAUGGGUGCAAACCUGAUGGAGCAAUGCCGCGUGAGUGAAGAAGGUCUUCGGAUCGUAAAGCUCUGUUGUUAGAGAAGAACACGUGCUAGGUAACUACUAGCGCCUUGACGGUAUCUAACCAGAAAGUCACGGCUAACUACGUGCCAGCAGCCGCGGUAAUACGUAGGUGACAAGCGUUGUCCGGAUUUAUUGGGCGUAAAGGGAGCGCAGGCGGUCUGUUUAGUCUAAUGUGAAAGCCCACGGCUUAACCGUGGAACGGCAUUGGAAACUGACAGACUUGAAUGUAGAAGAGGAAAAUGGAAUUCCAAGUGUAGCGGUGGAAUGCGUAGAUAUUUGGAGGAACACCAGUGGCGAAGGCGAUUUUCUGGUCUAACAUUGACGCUGAGGCUCGAAAGCGUGGGGAGCGAACAGGAUUAGAAACCCCAGUAGUCCCAUGAU
rnacentral:rRNA from 1 species